CCGGGCCUGUCUGUGACACUGAAAUGACCAGCGCUAGCCCGGGGUCCGCGGAUGGUGGGAGGAAUCGGUGACCCCUGAAUCAGAUCGGAAGCCGAUUUGUAUCCAAGUUCCUGUCACAGAGCUCCUAAAACACUGGAAUUUCCUGAAUGAUGGGGUGAGAGGAGCAUUUGCUGUUAUUAACAAGCCCCUUUCAGGCUUACCUGGGUUUACACCAAUGAGGUGACUCUUGGAGGAUGAGGGCUGGUUGCCAGAGGAACUCACCCUGUGAUUACAUAGAGCUUGGAACUUUCUUGCCUGCUCCUGACUUCCUAGGAGGUUGAGGGGCUGGAGACUGAGCUAGUCACCAACGCACAAUGACUUAAUCAACCAGCCUGUGUAAUGGAACUUCCAUAAAAACCCUAAAUGAAGGGGUUUGGAAACCCGGGUUGGUGAACAUGUGGAGGUGCUGGGGAGGUGGUGCUCCUGGAGAGGGCAUGGAAGCCCCAAAUCCUCCCCCACUCUCCCCAUGCAUCUCUUCUUCCUGCUAUUCCCGCCUGUGUUCUUUAUAGUAAACCAGUAAACAUAAAUAAAGCAUUUCCCUGAGUUC